rnacentral:lncRNA from 1 species
GUCUAGACUCUUUUUCAAGACUUGAUUUUCUUACUCAUUGGUUUGGGACUUUGCCAACAGCUACUUUCUGAAGAAAUGCUUGAGUAGUGCCACAAAAACAGAGCUGACGUGCAAGAAAGUCAUGUUAAAACCUCAUGUGGAAGGCAGGAAUUAACAUCAACUCUGUGGAGUUCUGGGUUAAGGAGGAUAAAGUGAUUCUGCCACAGUGUCCCCUACAGACUGCUGCUGCAAAUGGCCAAGACUGGGGAACCAGGACACCUAUUUAUGAGGCAAGAGACCCAUCUGCAGGAAUGGGCAGGAAAUAAAUACAGAGAGGAGAAAAACUUGAUUGCU